rnacentral:lncRNA from 1 species
GCCGAAAGAGAAGGAAGCAGUCAAUGGUAAAUCAGGAACAUCAAUAAAACUAGCAGCUGAUCAUAAUACAUCCAGAAGUUAUAGGAAAUGUUAAUUAAUGGGCUCAAACACGUUUCAAAUCUAACCUCCACAAAACCAAAGAACAUGUGAGGUAUGUUCAACUUGUGCACCUCUUUUAGUUUCUUUUGUUGAAUUCUUUUUCGGUAUAAUCACUUUUCUCCUGCUUUCUUGGAGGUUCAAAUCAUGCCAUUCAUGAUCCCCAACUUUUAUAAUAUAUGCGUAUCAAUUCAAAUUAAUGGAUGCUCACAACAUAGUUUGACAUUGCAAUCAAUGAGAAUCUGAUGUAUUACAUUCGUUUGGCCACAUUUUGCUAGAUAUUUUUGCUAUAGCUCUUCUUUCUUUUUUAUUUUUUUGCGAUUUAACUCAUCAUCUCUAAUUUUUUCCUACUCAGAACCAUCAUAAUGUCUCAAAGCAAUCAUGGUAUGAUUCAAAACUAUUAGAUAAGUUAUUUAUUUUCUGACGAGGUAAAGCCCAUCCCCCAAAACUUCCCUAAUUAAAUAGUCCUUUCACAAUAUGUGCAAGACUGAAGUAGAGGAUGUCAACCAGUUAUUUCAGUUGUCAGGAUGACACGUCCUCACUAUUUCUGGUAUUCAUUGGGUGACAUCAUACUCCGUAAAGACAGCUUCAACCAAUUGGGGGUUGUGGAAAGUGAAGAAAACAGUUAGGAGCAAAUGAAAAAUGACCCCUGCUGGUGUUUUAGAUGCUAUGGAAAGAAAGAAACUCCAGAAGCAUCUAUGGAAAGGCUUUGCAGUUUGCACAUUAUCCGGCUGAAGCAUAGAUGUUAGACAAAUCUUUUUUGUUGGACAAAACUGAAUUAUGUUAAAGAUGUAAAUCAGCUAAUAGAUUCUGUUGGUUCUCUUCAUUUUUGUUGAGAGCCAUACACUUUUGUAGCUUUGUGCUUUUGCAUCUUCUGGAUCAUCAAUAAAAG